GGGGAUAUAGCUCAGUUGGUAGAGUGCUUGCCUAGCGUGCACAAGGCCCUGGGUUCAACCCCCAGUAUCACCA